AUGACCCGAGAUCAGCGGUCCACCCGGAAAACUCCCGGUGCUCCAGAUGGCCAGUCCGCCACUGCCAUCUCCAAACGGGAAGGUGUUCACUGUGUUGAGCUGACCCAGCCUGCAUCCUCAGUAGUAACCCCUGGUCAGUCACUGACUCUGACCUGUAAAUUGUCUGGAUAUUCAGUUACUGAUAGCUACUAUACAGGCUGGAUACGACAACCUGCAGGAAAAACUCUGGAGUGGAUCGGACAGAUAUGGGGUGGUAGUGGUAGCACUUACUACAGUGAGAAACUGAAAAGCAGGUUUCAGAUUUCCAGAGACACGUCCAGCAACACAAUAACAUUAAGAGGACAGAACAUGCAGACUGAAGACACAGCUGUGUAUUACUGCGCUCGGGAACCCACAGUGAGACAGAUCAACAACAUCCCUAACAUCAACUAA